UGCAUUCCCCCUGCGGCCACAGGUCCGACUGGACUUCCACCCCUCCUCCAGCCACCAGCUCAGGGUACACAGUGACACCGGCUCGAGGCAGCUGGGAACUGAGCCAGGGCGACACAGGGAAAGCACCCGUUCCAGAGUCAGAAGAGGCUGUGGAGUUUAAGCAAGAUGGAAAUAUGUGUUUUGCUUAGAAUCUUGCAGUAUUUCUUUCUGAAUCCUGCUAGAACUUCUCCAGCCUUGAACACUUUCCACUGCAAAGACAUAAACCUGCAGACAACUGGAAGUACAGCAAGAAGACAUGUGAAAGUCCAAGCUUUUAAUUCUACCUGAUUUUGAACAUUGUGCAGAUUCCCAUAACCUAAACAGGAGCUAGUAAAAUUCCAAAAUGUAUCUCAAGACUGCAGUCCAGGCUUGUCUUUCACUAGAGAUCUUCCUUUUCAUUUUAUCAGUUGAAGAAAAAACAGUUAGUAUGACAUUUUACACUAUCACAUCAUCUGAAUUCAUGUAUUUGACAGUGGCAGCUCUAUGCUAAAAUCAAGCUCUGGCUCAAGCAAAAUCUAAAGUGUUGUUUCAGAGCUCUGUCUGGACAAGAAUGCGUGCACACCUUCAAACGCCACUGAAAUUUGGAGAAGAGCA